AACCAGGAUGCAAGCCGAGGGCGACAACCAAAACGAUGACGAGACAAAAAUAAAUGGCGACGAAAUCGAAUAUGACACAAGUAAUCGCAACGACGUUUCCGCAACUGAGGUGAAUAGAGAGCAGGGCGCGGAGGAGAGCAGCAGCCAACCAAAGGCAU
rnacentral:sRNA from 1 species